rnacentral:rRNA from 1 species
UAGUGGCGAACGGGUGAGUAACACGUGGGCAAUCUGCCCUUCACUCUGGGACAAGCCCUGGAAACGGGGUCUAAUACCGGAUAACACUCCUGCCUGCAUGGGUGGGGGUUAAAAGCUCCGGCGGUGAAGGAUGAGCCCGCGGCCUAUCAGCUUGUUGGUGAGGUAGUGGCUCACCAAGGCGACGACGGGUAGCCGGCCUGAGAGGGCGACCGGCCACACUGGGACUGAGACACGGCCCAGACUCCUACGGGAGGCAGCAGUGGGGAAUAUUGCACAAUGGGCGAAAGCCUGAUGCAGCGACGCCGCGUGAGGGAUGACGGCCUUCGGGUUGUAAACCUCUUUCAGCAGGGAAGAAGCGAAAGUGACGGUACCUGCAGAAGAAGCGCCGGCUAACUACGUGCCAGCAGCCGCGGUAAUACGUAGGGCGCAAGCGUUGUCCGGAAUUAUUGGGCGUAAAGAGCUCGUAGGCGGCUUGUCACGUCGGUUGUGAAAGCCCGGGGCUUAACCCCGGGUCUGCAGUCGAC